GUGCUCACUUCAGCAGCACAUAUACUAAAACUGGGACGAUACAGAGAAGAUCAGCAUGGCCCCUGCACAAGAAUGAUACACAAAUUCUUGAAGCGUUCCAUAUUUUU